UCAUUCCCGAUGUGGCCUUUAGAAGGCAGUGGUUUCCCUCCCCUCCUGCGCAUGCGCACGCCGAUGCGCAACAUUUUUGCGACAGCCGUCCGGCGGCCUCGGACAGGGAGGUGUUUCCAGCAGCGGCAGCGUGGCGAGGAGGAGGCUCGGUCCCGGCCAAGCAGCUCAGCCGUCGGAAGUUUUUUUUCCCCACUUCUCUCAGGUGCCGUUCUUCCUGCAGCCAUGCCAUGCAAGCCGCCAUCAGCAACCUGGUCUGGAUCAAUGGAAUUGUAAUGAACAUAGAACAGCAAGGAUUGUUUUAAAGACAAUUAAAGAUGAAAGGGGAAUACAAGUCAAACAAGAGAAGGUAACAAUUACACACCCGAAAUUCCUAAUAAUAUCAAUAGGCAAUCUUCCUCUCCUGCCAAGUUGAAGGACUAUCCACCUGUCCUUGUGCUGUCAGAAAAUUAUACUGGCAUGAAAUCACCAUUGCUUGAUCCAUAACUUGUUUCUGUUCCCACUGACUGCCAAUCACUUGACUUCCCUCCCAACAAAUGGAUAGUAAAGCUGAACAGAUUCUACCUAUCUUGGGACUGCUCUUUACAAUGUGUGAAUAACAGGAGCAAUAUUAUUUUAAAGCUGAAAUCUCUGAGAAUGGCUUAAAGUGCUGGGAAAUGAUGAAGACUUGUGACUAGAAUACAGAAGAAGAAAAAAGAUAUUGCUAGGAUGUAUUCACGUUGUGGUUAUGUGUGUUGUGGCCCGCCAGCAGCCAGCAGAGCUGG